rnacentral:rRNA from 1 species
UACGUAGGGAGCAAGCGUUGUCCGGAAUCAUUGGGCGUAAAGCGCGCGUAGGCGGCUCGAUCAGUCUGUUGUGAAAGUCAGAGGCUCAACCUUUGAAUGCCGAUGGAUACUGUCGAGCUAGAGUCCGGAAGAGGCGGGUGGAAUUCCUGGUGUAGCGGUGGAAUGCGCAGAUAUCAGGAGGAACACCAACGGCGAAGGCAGCCCGCUGGGACGGUACUGACGCUAAGGCGCGAAAGCGUGGGGAGCGAACAGG